rnacentral:lncRNA from 1 species
CCACCCUGCAAAACCACUUCACUGCUAGCUUUGGUGGGUGACCUUCUAGGACAGCUGGGCACACUGAUGGUCUGAAACCUGAAGCCACUGUAUGUUGUCCCAGCUCCCAGGCCGCAUGUCCUUCCAGAGACUUAAGAGUGUGGCAGUUCGUCCCAGUCCUAGGAUGAGUUGCCUCCCAGCCAUCUCUUCCAGUUUCACUUCCCCUUUGGGAACCGUUCCUCCCACAGUCAUUAGAACUGUGUCAGUUUGGAGAGAAGCAACAUUAUGGAGGAGACAGAAGGUGCAGACACCUGGCAGGUGGUGCUGGCUCCCUGAGGAACAGAAAAUGUUAACAAGCAGGAAACCUGGAUGAAGACGUGGGCGUUCCACAAACUCCUAAGCUGGGGAAGUGCCCUGAAGAGGCUUCUCUCGUCUCCCUCCCCCAUUCAUCUGCUGUAGCCUGAGCUGCUCUGGAACUUGCUAUGUAGAUCAGGUGGAUCAAAAGCUUGCAGAAAUCCUCUGGCCUCUACCCCCCAAGGUCUGGGAUUUAAGGUAUGUGCUACAAUGUCAGGAUAUAUUUAGAACUCUGCCUCUGUCUGUCUG